GAGGAGAUUAAGAGGGAGACGAGGGAAGUGCGACGAGCUUGGUGGCUGACGUUGCUGCGGCCGGGGAGGACAGAGGGGGGCGUGCUUCUAUGGCCGGAACUUGCCUCGGCAGCGGCGGCGACUAUCUCUCAAAGAGGGAGAGAUCGCGAAGUGAGAGAGAGAUUUGGGGAGGAGAUGAGACGUAGCGAGGGUGGGCGGCAGCGGCGCGACGCAGCGCGACAAGGGUGGGCGGCGACGGGCUGGCUCGGGGCAGCGGCGCCGGCGGCGGAGUCGAGAGGGGAGAGAGAGAGUCGAGAGAACUAGGGCUUCUAGUUUGGGAGGAGGGGUUAAUUUCUAAAUUUCCUAAAUUUUUUUCUUUUUUUCACUUUUAAUAUUCAAUUUUUGGUAUUUAGAUUUCUAAUUUAGAUUUUUAAUUUACAUUUUAUAUAAGUGUUGAUAAAAUAAAAAAAUGUUAUGAAUUUUUAUUUUUCAAAGUCUAUAUCUAGGAAUAAAUUCAAAUUUUAGGAUAAAUAAUUUAUUUGUUAUUUUUUAAU
rnacentral:lncRNA from 1 species